CCCUUAGAUGUUCUGGGCCGCACGCGCGCUACACUGACGGAGGCAGCGAGCAUGUCCUUCGCCGAGAGGUGUGGGGAAUCUUGUGAGUCUCCGUCGUGCUGGGGAUAGAUGGUUGCAAUUGUCGAUCUUGAACGAGGAAUUCCUAGUAAGCGCGAGUCAUCAGCUCGCGCUGAUUACGUCCCUGCCCUUUGUAUACACCGCCCGUCGCUACUACCGAUUGGAUGGUUUAGCGAGAACUUUGGACCGGAGCUCGGGUGGUCAGCAAUGGCCGCCCGAGACAUACUGGGAAAUCGCUCCAGCUUGAUCAUCUAGAGGAAGUAAAAGUCGUAACA
rnacentral:rRNA from 1 species